rnacentral:piRNA from 1 species
UAAAAUGUGUGAGCAUGCAGCUGGGUAAC